UGGAGAGGUGUCCGAGCGGCCUAAGGAGCACGAUUGGAAAUCGUGUAUUUAUCGAAAGGUGGAUCGUGGGUUCAAAUCCCACCCUCUCCGU
rnacentral:tRNA from 1 species